CGGACUCCAUUCAUAGCCCUCUGCGCCGGGUCGGGGUCCUCUUAGGGAGCCGCUGCCGCCGUUUGCUGCUCGAGGCCGCGCUUCGAGGCGGGCUCCGAAGGCCCGACCCAAUAGAAAGCGGGUUUUGUCAGCAGAGGGGCUUCUCCAUGUCUGACAGCUUGCCCUUGUUCACCCAAGUUACAGUUUGGAAAAUAACCUGUGGAAACAGGGAAGGAUGAGCAGAAGUCUGUACCUCCCAGAAAUCAUGUUAUAUUUAAUGAAGACCAAAUGCCAUUUUACUGAACAAUGACAAGAAAGAUAUACAUGCUUAGCAGAUGUGCAAGUUAUUUCAAAUAUUGUCAGUCUACUGCUCGUUGAAUCCAUGGAGGCAGAAGCCACAGAUAAGAAGACUAAUGUCUCUUCCCUCAAAUGCACCUGCCAGAACUGUGUGAGAGAGUGUGGACAUUGGCUGGCCUGCUUGUAAAAGAAAACAAAGGGCUAAGCACACCCUUGAAGGUGUUUCUGACAUUUCUAAACCUUUUGCCAAAAAAACCCAAAUUCCAGUCUGGGCCAGAGAACAGAACUCGCGUUUGUCCUGAUGUUCUGAUCAUCACCCAUUGCUGAAGAAGAAUCAGGACUCAGGACACCACACAUCUAGACUUUGCCACUGGGUUUCAAGACAUCAGCCAUAUGCUGUCAUCGUGCCAUUCUCCACCGAAAGAGAGAAAGAAAAUGUAUGAUAGCCAACUAGAAGAUAACAAGGUAUCUCCUAUUAAAGCUUAAUAGUACUUACUAUAUUUAGCUUCUUAUAGCAGUAAAUAUAUAUGUGUGUGUUAACUGUAAAGAAGUUAAGAAAUGCACAUAAAGACGAGAAUACAGCAAAACCUUAUCCCAAGCUUAAUAGUACUUACUAUAUUUAGCUUCUUAUAGCAGUAAAUAUAUAUGUGUGUUAACUGUAAAGAAGUUAAGAAAUGCACAUAAAGACGAGAAUACAGCAAAACCUUAUCCCAAGAGACUCCUGCUUUUAGCGUUUUAUAGCAUACUUCUCUAAGCUUUAAUAAAAUGUUUCAGUGAUUAAAAAAUAGAACAGUGCUACGUAUAUAGUUUCUCUGUCUUGCUUUCUUAGCAAUAUAAAC